ACGUAGGAUGCAAGCGUUGUCCGGAUUUAUUGGGCGUAAAGCGUGCGUAGGUGGUGGUUUAAGUCUGCUGUGAAAGCCCUGGGCUCAACCUGGGAAUUGCAGUGGAUACUGGGUCACUAGAGUGUGGUAGAGGGAUGCGGAAUUUCCGGUGUAGCAGUGAAAUGCGUAGAGAUCGGAAGGAACAUCCGUGGCGAAGGCGGCAUCCUGGGCCAACACUGACACUGAGGCACGAAAGCGUGGGGAGCAAACAGGA
rnacentral:rRNA from 1 species